rnacentral:rRNA from 1 species
UACGUAGGGUGCGAGCGUUGUCCGGAAUUAUUGGGCGUAAAGAGCUCGUAGGCGGUCUGUCGCGUCGAUCGUGAAAACUUGGGGCUUAACCCUGAGCUUGCGGUCGAUACGGGCAGUGACUGGAGUUCGGCAGGGGAGACUGAAUUCCUGGUGUAGCGGUGAAAUGCGCAGAUAUCAGGAGGAACACCGGUGGCGAAGGCGGGUCUCUGGACCGGUUCUGACGCUCAGGCGCGAAAGCGUGGGGAGCGAUCCGG